UGCAGAUAUAGUUUAACAAAAACAUUAGAUUGUGAUUCUAAAAAUAGAGGUUAAACUCCCCUUAUCCGCC
rnacentral:tRNA from 1 species